CCUCCCCUAGCACGUGCACACGUGUUGUCGUUCAUCAUCGAUCACUGAUGACUCCACUACGAAGGCGGGAGGAGAUAUUAAGGGAUGCGUUCAAUACGACCAUCAACACGCAGUGCGCAUGCUCAGACGCUGAUGUGGAGAUCUUCAAGUCGGUCGAUUAUCUGCUUUUUAACAUUUCACAAUAUCGUCUUCAAACUGCGAUGUAGGUGACGAUAAUACUAACACUUGCUUAUAUAAAAUUAUAUAUCCGUGCAUUUUCUAUAUCACAACAGUAUCAAGCUAUGACUCGUCACCAAAUGACAAAGAUCGAGUAGACAUGCAAAAAGACAUACCAAAGUCUAAAGACCACUCCCCCCCAAAAAAUAAAUAAAUAAAUAAAUAAAAAUCCACAUAAAAGCAUGUCAACAAGACACCAGCACUAACGAGAGUAAAGUCACGGCCAUGGACGACGGCAAAGUAGAUGAAUAGGGAAUCCAUGAACACAAAGGCUGGGAAAGGUAAACAGCUUGAAGUAUGGAGGAGCCAUCCUGUGCAGGACCCUGCUCAAUGUCGCCCAAGACAGGUGCGAGUGGCGGCCGUUGUCGACUGCCACGUCUGUCCAUUCGUUCGCCCAACGACGAAUAACUUAUGUAAAAAUAGGGAUCAACGAACGAAGGAUUCUAGUGACCUUUUUGUUCUGUUUCCAUUCAGCUUUUUUUAAACUCACGCAAGCGGAAAUAGCGAACGAUAAAAAUAAAUAGCUAAGCAAGUUUAUGUCGUGAAUGUGAACACGUGACUACGUCAGGUGGACUGUUUUCUCGGUGUGACUAAGGGACCAGGCUGCGCACAGACUUGAACUGUUGGCGUGAGCCCCGCAGCCAGCACCUAGCGACCUGUCGUGCACCUGGCUCCACAUCUCACAGCAGCCUGCGCCUCGUUAGGAAAGGUCUCAACGACUUCAGGGUCCUAGCUGACGUCACAACCUACCCUCGCCCACAAGCCCUCGUCCGUCAAACUCUCCUAAGCCCUCCAUUAAGAGAUUCUUUUGAACAUCUCACCUCGACUUGUCACAGCACGGACCUGUGGCGACAUGGGAAAGGUUGGGGAAGUAAGGAGAGAGAGAACUCGAAGGCCUGCGAUCUUGUGAAACGCUUGAUGUUGGCUGACAAAUAAUUGGCGGCAAAGCUUCUGUUUCCUGUCAACGGCCUGCUGCUUCAUUUUCUUCUUCCUGUCGUCUGGUACCGCUAGGUGGCGCAGCUGUUCAGCCAAACACGCAGACCAGGAGCACAAUCAACUACAGUACAGCCGCGCCUUUGCUGACCUGUCAAGAGAAGUUGAACCACUCCACUGUCGUCAGCGCCCUUCUCCACUCCACACAUGGAGGAGCACUGGCCUGGGCAUUCCCCAUGUUCUCAACACGAUGUGAUGCUUGACGGGGAGUGGGAGGUAGACUGGGCAUUCCCCAUGUUCUCAGAACACGAUACGAUAGUUGACAGGAGUGGGUGGUGAAGGUUCCAUCGACUGCCAACCUCCAUUAUCAACUGUCAUAAUGGUUUCUUCGUAUAACUGGUGAGGUCACACGGUGUCUGUAUCACCAUCCAGGCAUUUACGAAUGAUGUGAUCGAUGGACAGAGCUGCUCUGCUUAUUAACUGAUCUUCUCCUUUCAACAGAUGUGAAAAUAUGUUACACCAAUGCAUUUGCUAUUUUGGAAUUGAUUUGUUUCUCACGCAAGGAAGAGUUUGAUUUUUGUGAUUCUGCUUUUUGCAUAUCAGUAAGCAUAUGGGCAAUAGAAGGGUGGUAUAAGAUAAGCAAAAUUAUUAUUAUUUUUACAUCUAGCCCUCGAUCAAAGGAAAAGAAACUGAGACAUUACUUAACUAUAAAAAAAGGCAUUAAAGAGAAAAUUAGGAUAUAUACGAAGUUCAGGGUUGUUAUCUAAUUCGACAGAGAUUCUUGACUAGUGAAUAAGUAAGUAGGAUGCAUGUACAAUUUUCAUUGUCAGUAAUGGAUGUUUACGUUGAAUGGAAGGUCUCUGCAAGCAAAUGGAUUAUGUAAGGCAUGAAGGAUGAUGAUAGGUUGAAAGUAUCGGAAGUAUUAUAUCAGCGGAUUUGCGCAGCUUCUCUUCCUAUGGUCUAUGUUUUCAGUGAGGCCUUUAACAGAUUAUCCCUAUGGUGACAAAAAACGAACAAAAAAUCACUUAUGUGAUCUGUUCUCUGACUGGAUCAGUGGUGUGGACAGGAACAUUUGCAGGCUAAUUAAAGUUUUAUUAUUCGUAAAGGCCCACGAGCUUGGUGAUAAGGUUGAGUGGGUCAUGGUGCCAUAUAAGUGUCCUUUAUUUUUAUUAUCAAGUGCAAGUCGACUUUGCUGGUGGUCGGAAUAUCGACUAGCCAGUGGAGACCGGUGAUUUAAGCCUUGUUUGCAGAACCUCACAAGCAACCCAACUAACUGUCUGGACUUGAGACAAACUUGUUCAGUGCGUGCGUGUACCCACACGCCACCCACAGCAUGAGCGGGGUAUGGGGUGGGGACCAUGCUGCAGGAUUGUGCAAGGCCUGAGCCCAUCUCACACUGACCACUCGGCGCCAUUACUGUGUGAUUCAUUAACUUUUAUGCCACGACAUCGAUUCCGCAAGCUCCAGCAAUAUCAGCAAAAUACCCCCCUAGUCGAGGAGGGUAAACAUGGUGGAAACGCUUUUGGGAAAGGUAGGGGAGAAGCUGGAGUGGAGGUGUUGGAACGACAAAAUGCAUUAGAAGAGGGCAGGAUAGUAUGCAGGGAAUGUGGGCAGGGUGGUAAGAGAGAAUGCAGGCAGGAUGAAGAUGGAGAGUAACGGGGUGGGGAGAAUGUCCGGCCCGGAGGUCGUAUAAAACCCGGGAAAUCCUUUGAUCCGGCCCUGGCCACGGCAACCGCAGGCGGGAUUCAAAAUUCAAUAAAUCUCGCAGCUUUACUGCAGCAACAUAAUCUUAUAAUAAUUGAAUCAUAAUAAUAACAUGAUGUUUGAGGGACAAACAAGGGGCGUUUAUUACGGGAUGUUCAGGACACAGUACAUGACGAGACAGACAUGCUCCUCGCCGGCUUCCCUCGGUCCGUCUGCCUUCACUGCAUUGACUCACAAGUCAGCGCCAGGCAGACUGGGAGAGUAGGCGUUGCUAAAGUGGCGACAAUGUCCGGCUUGACCAAAUAUAGUAGGCUAAUUAUUAAGUUGAUAAUUUUGUUUGGCAUGCAAAUGAUUUAAAAAUAUCAAAAUGGCCCUUGGCAGCAGAAAGGUUCCCCACCUCCGAUGUAGAGAAUAGCAAAAUAAAGUGAACGUGAGCAGAAUAUUGAUGUAGAGGCGUGGCAGGAUAAAUAUCAAGAAGAGGAUAAAUAGCAUGAACAGUAAAAAGAUGUAGGGGAACAGGGCAAGAAAUGUAGAGAUAGAGGGCCAAUAGAUUUAUAUCUAGAAUAAAGAUAUAGCACUGUGGGCAGGAUACAGAUGUAGAAAUGUGCAGGAUAAGGAUGUUGGGUGUGGGGGGAAGGAAUGGGCAAGCUACAGAUGUACUGAUAAAGUGGACAGGAUAAAGAUGUUUGGGUAAUGGCCAGGAUAUAGAUGUAGAAGUGGACAGGAUAAAGACUCUUGGGAAAUGUGCUGGAUAAAGUUGUAGGAAAACUCAUGACAAGGAGGCUUCUGGGAAAGCACAUGACCCUUUAUACACACCACUCCUAGAUGACAGAGAAAGGGUGACAGUUUCUCACUCGCAGCACAAGCAUGAUGGGUGUCAAACCUGAUCUCAUCGUCUGAGUUUCCCCAGCACUGAUGACUUCCACUACUGACUUGUCACAACUAUUUCUAUUCAGUGUCCUUGUCCAAAAACCACAACCAUAAACAUUUUCAAGUAUUGCUCAACCACUUACCAAAAAACCCAUUUCAGGAAAAAUGAGUUCUGUUACUUUUACUUCUGUUACUUUUCUGUUACUUUUAGGACAAAGCACAAACUUCUGGGUAGGAUGCGUGUGUGCGACUGUCAUUGCAGUGUGUCAGCCUGCUGACAUAAAAUAAGCAUUUUUGCUACUGUUCUAAUUUGAGCCAUGCACAGUCUGGAUGGUAAUGUCCAUAAUGCAUUAAUAAAAUUGAUAUUUCUAGGCACUUAAUCAGCCACACGCCAUCACCAACAUAUUUCCAGGUUAUUAUCAAGCCAAGCUCAUUGGUUCAACAUCAUUUUCUGUCUAGAUGGAUCAAUAGCCUAAAUGAAAUUUUUUUUUAACAUUCCAUUUUGUGCCUCUGCUCCAUGAUCUUAAUGUAGCAAAUAAACCAUUUCUGAACUGAAUAAUGAUCAUUUUCAUGGAAGGAAAAUUAAUAUCUAAUCCUGAUCAUUUAAAAAAAUGGAAAGUGUUAAAAUGGUAAAACAACUCACUUUCACACAAGAAGAGGAUGAGAGAAAAAAACAGAGUUUAAAUCCUGCACAUUUGUGUGUGAAUGGACAUGUGAGAGAGUGAAGGUGUUGGUGAAAAUAACAUGCACGUGACAGCGGUGUCCCUGGACUUUGCUUUAUUUCAUUGUUCUUAAAUUAAAAAGCUUGCUGUUGCUGCACAGCUUGUACCCGACCCUUGACAGCGCCAGAGUGUCAGUACUAUACCUUUGCCAGUUACUAAGUGUAGCCCUGUACCUUCGCCAGUAGAGAUCACAGUUCACGGAACAUAUUGGUAGUUUGUUCAACGACAAUGCUCAAGCACUUAUAAAUGCUCUUGAUGUUUGUGAUAAUGUCUUUUGCUUUAGUAGUAAAGCGUUCUUCUUAGACCUCAUCAUAACAAUGACAGGAUUAUUAUGAGGGAGAGAAUAAGUAAAACUCGGAAACAAACAUAAUAGACUUAAUUCUGGACAUUUAAGAACAAAAGCUGCACUUCUUUAUGCACUGCUAAAAGUAGCUGGUUGGUUAAACUGGCAAGAAAAGUGUUCCACCUAGUCGUGAUUUUGCACUUUGAGAGGAAUGGGAUGGGGAAGAAGCCAGAAUAACCAGAGAAAACACCAAUGGCUGGUGUUGCAAACAAGUGUCAUGUACAAAGACCCUCCCAAGACAAGAUCUAAGCCCACAGCAUCUCACUGCAGUGGUGCCAGAGCAAAUGUUUUAUCCACUGCACUAUCAAGCAUCCUGUGCUAAAGAUAUAAUCUCACAUGAGGAUUUUAUCAACUGGGCGCAUAGUGAAAGUAAAAUUCCUAGUGUUCUUUAAAGCAAAGAAAAUAUAAUCAAUCUGCAGUGACUCAUGAGUUAUCAUUCUAUUUCCUUUUGCACAAGAAAUAAUAUACUUUGUGCUAGCAAGUAACUGCUUUAUUUUCUUUUCCCUUACAUAAUUUUCUGCCAAUUUUCUGUUGGUAAAUAAACUGUACUCAUAAAGCAAUAUUCUGUUGGUGUCACUUUGUGGAUGGAUAAAAACUGGACUUUUCAUGAUAGAGAGUCAAAUGAUAGAAAAGAACGCUACUAAUGUAAAAGUGAGUAUAUAAAAAAAAUGGUACUUUAAGACAACAACAA